rnacentral:rRNA from 1 species
AGCGAACGCUGGCGGCAGGCUUAACACAUGCAAGUCGAGCGGGUGUAGCAAUACAUCAGCGGCAGACGGGUGAGUAACGCGUGGGAACGUACCUUUUGGUUCGGAACAACACAGGGAAACUUGUGCUAAUACCGGAUAAGCCCUUACGGGGAAAGAUUUAUCGCCGAAAGAUCGGCCCGCGUCUGAUUAGCUAGUUGGUAGGGUAACGGCCUACCAAGGCGACGAUCAGUAGCUGGUCUGAGAGGAUGAUCAGCCACAUUGGGACUGAGACACGGCCCAAACUCCUACGGGAGGCAGCAGUGGGGAAUAUUGGACAAUGGGGGCAACCCUAAUCCAGCCAUGCCGCGUGAGUGAUGAAGGCCCUAGGGUUGUAAAGCUCUUUUGUGCGGGAAGAUAAUGACGGUACCGCAAGAAUAAGCCCCGGCUAACUUCGUGCCAGCCGCCGCAGUAACAC